rnacentral:rRNA from 1 species
GAUGAACGCUAGCGGCAGGCUUAAUACAUGCAAGUCGAGGGGCAGCAGGGUGUAGCAAUACUUCGCUGGCGACCGGCAAACGGGUGCGGAACACGUACGCAACCUUCCUUCAAGUGGGGAAUAGCCCGGGGAAACCCGGAUUAAUACCCCGUAAUAUUAUGAGGCGGCAUCACCUUAUAAUUAUAGUUCCGACGCUUGAAGAUGGGCGUGCGCCUGAUUAGGUAGUUGGCGGGGUAACGGCCCACCAAGCCUACGAUCAGUAACUGGUGUGAGAGCAAGACCAGUCACACGGGAACUGAGACACGGGCCCGACUCCUACGGGAGGCAGCAGUAAGGAAUAUUGGUCAAUGGACGCAAGUCUGAACCAGCCAUGCCGCGUGGAGGAUGAAGGUCCUCUGGAUUGUAAACUUCUUUUAUUUGGGAAGAAACCCAUAUUUUCUAAUGUGGUUGACGGUACCAAGUGAAUAAGCACCGGCUAACUCCGUGCCAGCAGCCGCGGUAAAAC